CCGGGCGACCGGCGGACGGGUGCGUAACGCGUAUGUAACCUACCUUUGACAGGGGGAUAACAUCGAGAAAUUGGUACUAAUACCCCAUAACAUCGCCGGAGGCAUCUUCGGUGGUUGAAAACUCAGGUGGUCAGAGAUGGACAUGCGUUGUAUUAGCUAGUUGGUGAGGUAACGGCUCACCAAGGCGACGAUACAUAGGGGGACUGAGAGGUCAACCCCCCACAUUGGUACUGAGACACGGACCAAACUCCUACGGAAGGCAGCAG
rnacentral:rRNA from 1 species